UUUUCAGGUAAGAACACCAUAAAUUUUGAAGCUUUGUUUGGAAUCUAACUUGGGUUUCGUAUCCUUGUUCUUCACCUCAAAACCCACUUGUAAUUCCGACUUCUUUUUCGUUUCCUAGCAGCCAAACUAGGUUCCUUUAAUUUUCUUUGUUCCCCUUUGUUCAGUCUGGUUGUUGAGAAAAUGGAGGAAAACUUUAGAAAGGAAAUGGGGUUUUGCAUUUGAUUGUUUGAAAUUUCGGAUCUUGGCGAAGGUCAUUUUGGACUCGAAAAGCUAGAAUCCUCCACUCAACUAAGCUUAUUAUGGCUACUUGUGUGAGAUUUGAUGAUCUGUUUGCAUUUGAUGUUUAGUUGUUGAUGUAAUUCGAUCAUUAUGAUUCUAUUAUUGUUGGAAAGUAUUAAAUUCAUACUUCUAGGCAACAAAUUCGGAAGCUACAAAUUUUGUGGGGGCAAUGGUUUGGGAGCAUAAGGAUUGCAUUAGGAGUUUGAACUAAGUGAAUGAAAAAAAAAAACAUGAAUUUAGUCGUGAUAGGAAUUGAUCCCUGUUCUCUUUGUAUAAACCUUUCUGUAAAUUAUUAUAAUUAUUCUCAUUAUUUUUUAUCAUUGUUUAUGUGGAAGAUUUGAU
rnacentral:lncRNA from 1 species